rnacentral:tRNA from 1 species
GCCCGAGUGGUGAAAUUGGUAGACACAACAGACUUAAAAUCUGUCGACUUGAAAAGGUCGUACCGGUUCAAUUCCGGUCUCGGGCACCA